rnacentral:lncRNA from 1 species
CAUAAUUCGUCCCCACAUUCGAGCAAAUUUGGUAUUUACUAGAUCAACGAAUAGCUUUUCAAGAUACAAUAAAAUACAAAUCCCAAUUACGUUUGCACAUACGAAAUCGGGCCUUUAAGCACUCACUUGAUUAAAUUGUCAAAAAAAUUAGUAUAAGAAACAAUAAAGAGUAUAUUAUGAAUGGAGACUUAAAUUCUUUUCAUCUGUACUUCAGCACUCAAUGCUAUGGGCUAAUGUAGACCACGAACGGAUGUUUCAUAAAAUGACACUUUUUGAAUGGGUGUUUUAUAAAGUGAUUUUUUAAUUUAUAACUUUUCAUUUGAUAAUAACUACCAAAUAAUUAUAUAAGUCAAGUUCAAUGAAUGUAAUAAUUAAUUCUAACAGACAUGUGCACGAAGGAACACUAAAAAGUUAUGCCUUUUCAUAACUAAUCCUUUCAUCAAAAGUCAUCACUUUUCGCAUUCAUUCACUAACAGUCACGCCCUUUGAUUAGAAUCACAUCUAUUUAUUAAAGAGUUGUAUCCAUGUGCUAAAAGAUGCAUGGAUUCACUAAAAAACAAAUGAUAA